UGAGGAAUAUUGGGCAAUGCCCGCAAGGGUGACCCAGCAACGCCGCGUGGAGGAUGAAUGUCGUAAGAUUGUAAACUCCUGUUAGAGGGGAAGAAUAGUACCGGUUGGACCGGUAUAUGACUGUACCCUCAGAGAAAGCCCCGGCUAACUACGUGCCAGCAGCCGCGGUAAUACGUAGGGGGCAAGCGUUGUCCGGAUUUACUGGGUGUAAAGGGCGCGCAGGCGGGAUAAAAAGUCAGUGGUGAAAUCCUACAGCUUAACUGUAGAACUGCCUUUGAUACUUUUAUUCUUGAGUUCGGGAGAGAGAGACGGAAUUCCAGGUGUAGUGGUGAAAUACGUAGAUAUCAGGAGGAACACCGGCGGUGUAGACGGCUUGCUAGACCAUAACUGACGCUGAGGCACGAAAGCGUGGGUAGCAAACA
rnacentral:rRNA from 1 species